GUGCUCUUUUCGGCAGCACAUAUACUAAAAUUGGAACAAUUCAGAGAUUAGCAUGGCCCCCGUGCAAGGAUGACAUGCAAGUUUGUGAAGUGUUCCAUAUUAAA
rnacentral:snRNA from 1 species